rfam:Mus musculus chromosome 2 genomic contig MG191_PATCH, GRC reference assembly FIX PATCH for GRCm38.
GGAGAGAUGGCUCAGUGAUUAGGAGCACUGGUUUCUCUUCCAGAGGACCUGGGUUCAAUUCCCAGGAUCCA